rnacentral:rRNA from 1 species
CCUACGGGUGACAGCAGUGAGGAAUAUUGGUCAAUGGCCGUAAGGCUGAACCAGCCAAGUAGCGUGAGGGAAGACUGCCCUAUGGGUUGUAAACCUCUUUUAUGCGGGGAUAAAGGUGUCCACGUGUGGAUGUUUGCAGGUACCGCAUGAAUAAGGACCGGCUAAUCCCGUGCCAGCAGCCGCGGUAAUACGGAGGGUCCGGGCGUUAUCCGGAUGGAUUGGGUUUAAAGGGAGCGUAGGCCGGUCUUUAAGCGUGCCGUGAAAUUUUGUGGCUCAACCAUGAGAGUGCGGCGCGAACUGGAGACCUUGAGUGCGCGGAAGGCAGGCGGAAUUCGUGGUGUAGCGGUGAAAUGCUUAGAUAUCGCGAAGAACCCCGAUUGCGAAGGCAGCCUGCCGCAGCGUUACUGACGCUGAAGCUCGAAAGCGCGGGUAGCGAACAGGAUUAGAUACCCCUGUAGUC